GACGUAGGGCGCGAGCGUUAUCCGGAUUUAUUGGGCGUAAAGAGCUCGUAGGCGGCUUGUCGCGUCGUCUGUGAAAUCCCGCGGCUCAACCGCGGGUCUGCAGUCGAUACGGGCAGGCUAGAGUUCGGUAGGGGGAGACUGGAAUUCCUGGUGUAGCGGUGAAAUGCGCAGAUAUCAGGAGGAACACCGUGGCGAAGGCGGUCUCUGGGCCGUAACUGACGCUGAGGAGCGAAAAGCUGGGGGGAGCGAACAGG
rnacentral:rRNA from 1 species